rnacentral:rRNA from 1 species
AUACUGCUGAGCUAGGGACCGGGAGAGGCCGAGGGUAUUCCCGGGGUAGGGGUGAAAUCCUGUAAUCCCGGGAGGACCACCUGUGGCGAAGGCGCUCGGCUGGAACGGGUCCGACGGUGAGGGACGAAGGCCUGGGGAGCGAACCGGAUUAGAUACCCGGGUAGUCCAGGCUGUAAACGAUGCGGGCUAGGUGUCACCGGAGCUACGAGCUCCGGUGGUGCCGGAGGGAAGCCGUUAAGCCCGCCGCCUGGGAAGUACGGCCGCAAGGCUGAAACUUAAAGGAAUUGGCGGGGGAGCACUACAACGGGUGGAGCCUGCGGUUUAAUUGGAUUCAACGCCGGGAAGCUUACCGGGGGAGACAGCGGGAUGAAGGUCGGGCUGAAGACCUUACCAGACUAGCUGAGAGGUGGUGCAUGGCCGCCGUCAGUUCGUACUGUGAAGCAUCCUGUUAAGUCAGGCAACGAGCGAGACCCGCGCCCUCAGUUGCCAGCGGGUCCCUUCGGGGACGCCGGGCACACUGAGGGGACUGCCGGCGCUAAGCCGGAGGAAGGUGCGGGCAACGGCAGGUCCGUAUGCCCCGAAUCCCCCGGGCUACACGCGGGCUACAAUGGCCGGGACAAUGGGUACCGACCCCGAAAGGGGUGGGUAAUCUCCUAAACCCGGUCUAACCUGGGAUCGUGGGCUGCAACUCGCCCUCGUGAACCUGGAAUCCGUAGUAAUCGCGUCUC